UGGGGAAUUUUGGACAAUGGGCGCAAGCCUGAUCCAGCUAUGCCGCGUGAGUGAACAAGGCCUUCGGGUUGUAAAGCUCUUUCGGUGAAGACGAAACGGUUAGUGUUAAUAACACUGACUAAUUACGGUACUCACAGAAGAAGCACCGGCUAACUACGUUCCAGCAGCCGCGGUAAUACGUAGGUGGCAAGCGUUGUCCGGAUUUAUUGGGUUUAAAGGGUGCGUAGGCGGCCUAUUAAGUCAGUGGUGAAAUAUUUCAGCUUAACUAGAAUUGUGCCAUUGAUACUGAUGGGCUUGAGUACAGAUGAGGUAGGCGGAAUUGACGGUGUAGCGGUGAAAUGCUUAGAUAUCGUCAAGAACACCUAUAGCGAAGGCAGCUUACUAGGCUGUAACUGACGCUGAGGCACGAAAGUGUGGGGAUCAAA
rnacentral:rRNA from 1 species